AGUGAACGCUGGCGGUAGGCCUAACACAUGCAAGUCGAACGGCAGCACAGUAAGAGCUUGCUCUUACGGGUGGCGAGUGGCGGACGGGUGAGGAAUACAUCGGAAUCUACUUUUUCGUGGGGGAUAACGUAGGGACACUUAAGCUAAUACCGCAUACGACCUACGGGUGAAAGCAGGGGAUCUUCGGACCUUGCGCGAUUGAAUGAGCCGAUGUCGGAUUAGCUAGUUGGCGGGGUAAAGGCCCACCAAGGCGACGAUCCGUAGCUGGUCUGAGAGGAUGAUCAGCCACACUGGAACGGAGACACGGUCCAGACUCCUACGGGAGGCAGCAGUGGGGAAUAUUGGACAAUGGGCGCAAGCCUGAUCCAGCCAUACCGCGUGGGUGAAGAAGGCCUUCGGGUUGUAAAGCACUUUUGUUGGGAAAGAAAAGCAGCAGGUUAAUACCCCGCUGUUCUGACGGUACCCAAAGAAUAAGCACCGGCUAACUUCGUG
rnacentral:rRNA from 1 species